ensembl:lncRNA
GCCUGGUUUAAUGACAUUAACGAAACCGAAUUAAGGAGCGGGUGGAGUUGGAUGGGACGAGGGGAAACGGAUUUUCUGUAUGGUAGUCGCUGCCGCGUCUCUGCCGCCAGGCUGGAGCCUAUGGUCUGAUUAAUGGACCGCUCUGAGGACCAAGUCCUGCCAGCGGCCACCCCGGUCCCAUGCCCUUCCGGGUAUCCACGUGCCGAGAACAGAGCCAUCGUGCGCAAAGGGUUUCCCAGGAUGUCCCAGGGUUACCCUGUCCCCCUUCCCUAUUCCUGGCUCUCUCAUCUUCCCCAUCACCCCUCUCUUGUACAAUUUUUGCUGUUUCCCUUUAGUUCAGAUCUUCAUGGACCGUCCCUCUUUGGUCACUAGCGUGCUCCAGGCGACAGGCCGAUCUGCUAAUCCCUCUCCAGCACCGGCCCCCAGUCCCACCUCACUCGGUUUAUCCGGGGUUGGCCAUUCCGCGUGGUGGGCACUCUGCGCUUAGGUUGCCAACCAGAGCGCCCAGCCCUAGGAGGAGGGGCCUGUGUGCGGGGGGUGGGGGUGGGAGGCGGCCGCGGCCGCUGUCAGUUUCACUCUCUGCCCUACUGACACCCAGAUCCUAGCGCGCCCUCUUCACGGAGAGUCCAGCUGGCUCAACUUGGGCAACUGGCCGGAGGCGAGGAGUCGCCGACUCCCGAACUGAGAUUCCAUCGCUCGGUGCAGGCACUUGCCAACAGCGGAGUCCCCAAAGUGCAGAGGCGGCGGUGGCAGAGCUGGGGAACAGCGGAUUCCGCCCGGAGCCACACCGAGGGGAGCUUGCGGUCGCGACUUGCCGCCCUAAGCACUGUCCCAAGUCCGGCCCGCUCGGCGAGGACUUCCGUCUCCUGGCCGAACCCUGUCAAGCAAGCUGGGAUCUAUGAGUGGAAAGGUGACCAAGCCCAAAGAGGAGAAAGAUGCUUCUAAGGGUAUAAUUCACUUGAUCAGGUGCUUUGAGCUCGGCUCUGUGCUGCAUGCAAGAGAACAGAGACACGUGGGAUGUUGUCACUGCAGGUACCUAUGGGGAUGCCCAAGGAGUGUGUCCCUUUACUCAUCAGCCAUUCAUGCUUUCAUCAGGCAUCUCAUAAAGGUCUCAUUUGCGUCUCACUCCAGUGCUGGAUGCUGGGCAUACAAAAAUAAAUCCAACCAAAGAAGUCCAGGACCCUUCUGUCUUCUAGCUGGACACAUAUUAAAGCAUACAAUCAGCCAUUUACCAUUUGCCAAGUGCUUUUUCACAGAAGAGGCAGGUUGCACACCUCAGAGCAAUCCUGUGAGGUUGUUCCCAUUAUCUCGUCUCCUGGAUUAGAAAACUAAAGUGCAGAGACAUUAAUCGAUUUGCCUGUGUUCAUGCUAUUAGGAAGCAGCUGAGCUAGAACACAAACCCACUUCUGGAUGUUUUUCUUUAUGUCCUGGAAUUGCAGGACUGCCUGACUCGGAACUGUAUGAGCAGAAAUAGAGUUUGAAAUCUGAUGGUCUGUGGAAAGAGGUGCAUCUUUUCCUAAAGAAAUGAAAGAAUGAUUUCUCUGAAUGGGAAAAUUGCUGCCAACUUAGAUAAAGUUAUGAAAAGUUUGAAGACAUGUAAUGGGAGGGGACCACGUCUGGGUGCAUCACUUCACUAGUCCACUAUGAGAUGCUCCACCUGGGUCUGCUGUCAUUUCCUGCUGUUCUUUCUUGCCUAGGAGCUCAGAUGCAGAGGACUGACUCCUGAGGACCAAGGUAGUCUUAAUAUUUGGAGAGGACUUUGAAUAAAAAUGAGAACUUACCAGGCCCUUGAGAAAUU